rnacentral:rRNA from 1 species
CGAGCACGCGCGUGUGGCAUAUCAAUAAGCGGAGGAAAAGAAACUAACAAGGAUUCCCUUAGUAACGGCGAGUGAAGCGGGAAGAGCUCAAAUUUGAAAUCUUCAUGGUUCUACCUUGACGAACUGUAGUUUAUAGAAGUGUUUUCUGUUAGUAGAGUGGCAAAAGUUCUUUGGAAUAGGACAUCAUAGAGGGUGAGAAUCCCGUAUUUGGUCAUUCCUUCCUAGCUUUGUGAUACACUUUCAACGAGUCAGAUUGUUUGGGAAUGCAGUCCAAAAUGGGUGGUAAAUUUCAUCUAAAGCUAAAUAUUGGCGAGAGACCGAUAGCGAACAAGUACCGUGAGGGAAAGAUGAAAAGAACUUUGAAAAGAGAGUUAAACAGUACGUGAAAUUGUCAAAAGGGAAGCGUUUGACACCAGUGUUGUUUUUCCGAAAAUCGAUUACGAAUGUUUUAGUUUUUGAGGAGUUAUGACUUCAUCGGCUUGCUCCUUUCUUUAUGAAACUUUCUUAAUGCACUUUUCGGUUAACAAGUCAACAUCAAUUUCUUUUGUUGUAAAAGGGUAUGAGGAAGGUGGCUUUCUUUUCGGAGAAAGUGUUUAUAGCCUUGUGCCUCUGCAAUCGGAGAGAUUGAGGUCUGCAGCGUAGAUCCUUCGGGGUUAGAUACGUUUGUGCUAAGUUAUAGCUUUGUCAUAGACAACUUGUUGACUAUGUUUAGUCUUGUAGCUUACUCGCUGACGCUAUUUUACCUACGCUUAGGAUGUUGAACUCUAUCACACACA